rnacentral:rRNA from 1 species
CAAUAGCGUAUAUUAAAGCUGUUGCGGUUAAAAAGCUCGUAGUUGGAUUUCUGUCAAGGACAACUGGUCCGCCCUCCGGGUGAGCACAUAGUUUGGUCUUGGCAUCUUGCUGGAAACUGUUGCUGCGCUUGGUUGUGUGGUGCAGCUUUCAGCACUUUCACUUUGAGGAAAUUGGAGUGUUUCAAGCAGGCACAUGCCUUUGGACACAGUAGCAUGGAAUAAUUAGAUUGGGCUUUUGCUCCAACUUGUUGGUUCCUGGAGCUGAGGUGAGAAUCAAUGGGGAUUGUUGGGGGCAUCCGAAUUUAGCCGUCAGAGGUGAAAUUCUUGGAUCUGCUAAAGACGGACAACUGCGAAAGCGUUUGCCCAGGAUGUUUUCACUGA